rnacentral:lncRNA from 1 species
CCCAAACAAAAAAUUUCAAUUCCAAUUCCAAGUUGCUAAUGAGUUUCAAACGAUUACCAAUGGGUGAAAUUCCUCCACUUUCUUCUUCCCCAAAUUCAAUUCAACUAUCGAACCUAAUUAUUGAUUCCAUCGGAGCUGCAAAUCAAGCAACCGCCGCUGGAGCUGCAUCACCGGCGAUGAAAUUGACGCAAUUUCAGUGCCUUAGUCUUCGUAAGCAUGUGCCGCACCUUAUCUGAUAAACAAGGUAAAUAUCGC